CAGGCGGGCGGCGCUCGUCACGCGUACCCGCAGUCAUGAAUCCAAAGUGGUAAGCGCCCUCCCGAAGGUUAAGCUACCUACUUCUUUUGCAACCCACUCCCAUGGUGUGACGGGCGGUGUGUACAAGGCCCGGGAACGUAUUCACCGUAGCAUUCUGAUCUACGAUUACUAGCGAUUCCGACUUCAUGGAGUCGAGUUGCAGACUCCAAUCCGGACUACGACGCACUUUAUGAGGUCCGCUUGCUCUCGCGAGGUCGCUUCUCUUUGUAUGCGCCAUUGUAGCACGUGUGUAGCCCUACUCGUAAGGGCCAUGAUGACUUGACGUCAUCCCCACCUUCCCUCCAGUUAAAAGG
rnacentral:rRNA from 1 species